AUAUCAGUCAUGCAUAGCAUAUCAAUAAGCGGAGGAAAAGAAACUAACAAGGAUUCCCUUAGUAACGGCGAGUGAAGCGGGAAGAGCUCAAAUUUGAAAUCUUCAAGGUUUUACCUUGACGAAUUGUAGUUUAAAGAAGUGUUUUCUGUUGAAGUUUUGGUAAAAGUUCUUUGGAAUAGGACAUCAUAGAGGGUGAGAAUCCCGUAUUUGACCAUUACUUUCAGCUUUGUGAUACACUUUCAAAGAGUCGGAUUGUUUGGGAAUGCAGUCCAAAAUGGGUGGUAAAUUUCAUCUAAAGCUAAAUAUUGGCGAGAGACCGAUAGCGAACAAGUACCGUGAGGGAAAGAUGAAAAGAACUUUGAAAAGAGAGUUAAACAGUACGUGAAAUUGUCAAAAGGGAAGCGUUUGACACCAGUGUUGUUUUCUCGAAAAUCAAUUAAAAAGAGUUGGAUUUUGUGUUGUAUUGACUUUAUCAGCUUUCUUCACUCUUUUCCAGCUUUUUUUAAUGCACUUUUCGUUUAACAAGUCAACAUCAGUUUCUUUUGUUGUAAAAAGGUCAUUGGAAGGUGGCUUUCUCUUCGGAGAAAGUGUUUAUAGCCUUUGACUCAUGCAAUCGGAGAGACUGAGGUCUGCAGCGUAGAUCCUUCGGGGUUAGAUACAUUUGUGCUAAGUUAUAGCUUUUCAUAGACAACUUGUUGACUAUGUUUAGUCUUGUAGCUUACUCGCUUAGUGCUAUUUUACCUACGCUUAGGAUGUUGAACUCUAUCACACACAG
rnacentral:rRNA from 1 species